AUUGAACGCUGGCGGCAGGCCUAACACAUGCAAGUCGAGCGGCAGCGGGAAAGUAGCUUGCUACUUUUGCCGGCGAGCGGCGGACGGGUGAGUAAUGCCUGGGAAAUUGCCCAGUCGAGGGGGAUAACAGUUGGAAACGACUGCUAAUACCGCAUACGCCCUCCGGGGGAAAGCAGGGGACCUUCGGGCCUUGCGCGAUUGGAUAUGCCCAGGUGGGAUUAGCUAGUUGGUGAGGUAAUGGCUCACCAAGGCGACGAUCCCUAGCUGGUCUGAGAGGAUGAUCAGCCACACUGGAACUGAGACGCGGUCCAGACUCCUACGGGAGGCAGCAGUGGGGAAUAUUGCACAAUGGGGGAAACCCUGAUGCAGCCAUGCCGCGUGUGUGAAGAAGGCCUUCGGGUUGUAAAGCACUUUCAGCGAGGAGGAAAGGUUGAUGCCUAAUACGUAUCAACUGUGACGUUACUCGCAGAAGAAGCACCGGCUAACUCCGUGCCAGCAGCCGCCGUAACAC
rnacentral:rRNA from 1 species